rnacentral:rRNA from 1 species
ACUCCUACGGGAGGCAGCAGUGGGAAUAUUGGACAAUGGGCGCAAGCCUGAUCCAGCCAUGCCGCGUGAGUGAAGAAGGCCUUAGGGUUGUAAAGCUCUUUCACCCGCGAAGAUGAUGACGGUAGCGGGAGAAGAAGCCCCGGCUAACUCCGUGCCAGCAGCCGCGGUAAUACGGAGGGGCAAGCGUUGUUCGGAAUUACUGGGCGUAAAGGGCGCGUAGGCGGUCUGUUGCGUCAGGUGUGAAAGCCCGGCGUCAACCAUGGGAGGUGCACUUGAUACGGGCGGACUGGAAUCCGGGAGAGGAUGGUGGAAUUCCCAGUGUAGAGGUGAAAUUCGUAGAUAUUGGGAAGAACACCGAUGGCGAAGGCAGCCAUCUGGACCGGUAUUGACGCUGAGGCGCGAAAGCGUGGGGAGCAAACAGGAUUAGAUACCCUGGUAGGCUCUGC